UAAAACGUAGGAGGCGAGCGUUAUCCGGAUUUACUGGGCGUAAAGCGUGUGCAGGCGGUCUGGCAAGUUGGAUGUGAAAGCUCCUGGCUCAACUAGGAGAGGUCGUUCAAAACUACCGGACUAGAGUGUAUCAGAGGAAGAUGGAAUUCCCGGUGUAGUGGUGAAAUGCGUAGAUAUCGGGAGGAACACCAGUGGCGAAAGCGAUCUUCUGGGAUAGUACUGACGCUCAGACACGAAAGCUAAGGUAGCGAACGGGAUUAGAGACCCCGGUAGUCUUAGCAGUAAACGAUGUAGACUUGGUGUCGGAGGUGUAAUAGCCUUCGGUAUCGAAGCAAACGCGAUAAGUCUACCGCCUGGGGACUACGGCCGCAAGGUUAAAACUCAAAUGAAUUGACGG
rnacentral:rRNA from 1 species